AUUUUUUGACCUAUUUCCGAGUUAUCACAUUGCAACAGUAAAACUUUAUUUUUCCCUACGACAUUCAUUAGUCCGUGGUUUGUUUGUUCCCUGCUGAAACCUCUAAGUGUGAGUCAGUGAGUUAAAUCGGUCACCGAAGAGUCCGAGUCCGUUCCAAUUUCCAAAGCGGCCCAACAAGGAAGAAAUGGAGGUGCUGUUACCAAACAGAACCCUGUCAUUCUCAAAACCAACUGCUACUUGUUUUCCCAAACGACGUCGUCUUCACCGUCGUUGUUGUUUUAUCUCACAGCUCGAAGAAAUCCGGGUCUGUACCAACCGAACUUGCCGAAGACAGGGUUCCCUUCUAACCCUAGAAACCCUCACCGGUAUCGCUCCGCCCACCGUCACCGUCAAGUCAUGCGGAUGCUUAAGCCGCUGCGGCGCCGGUCCAAACCUCGUUGCAUUGCCCAGCGCCGUCGUGGUCAGCCAUUGUGGUACCGCAGCUCGCUCGGCUGAGGUUCUAGCCGCUCUCUGCGGAGCUUCAUGGGACGCUGACGCCGCCAAGAAGAGCCUCGAAGCCCUUGCAUUGAGGAAGAAAGCGGAGAUCGAGUUUGAUAAGGGCAAUUUUUCCCAGGCCGAGUUGCUACUUUCUCAGGCUAUAGAGUUAAAACCAAUGGGAGGUAUGAAUAUCAUAUACAAAGACAGGUCUCGUACAAGGUUGGCAAUGGAUAAAUAUCAUGAAGCCCUUGCAGAUGCUAAAGAGGCUUUGGUGUUUACUCCUCAGUAUGUCGAGGCCUACAUUUGCCAAGGUGAUGCAUUCCUGGCCAUGAAUCGAUUCGAUACAGCAGAGAAGUCAUAUUUAACAGCUCUAGAGAUUGACCCAUCUAUUCGUCGUUCGAAAUCAUUCAAGGCUCGUAUUGCAAAUCUUCAGGAGAAAGUCGCUUCUGUAAAUAUGCCUUAGUAUUUUCAAUGCAAGUGAAGUGACACCUUUGACAACAACAAAAAUAUGAAGACCAACACUCCAAACAUCUUCUACUUAAAAUCCAGCGGGUGGAGCAAUACCUUCAGCAAGAUUAGCAAAAAGAUGGGAUGCCUCCAGCACAUUAAUAUCAUUAUUAUCCCGGCAGACCAAAAUAUGCAUGCUAUAUCCAAAGGUCAUAGUCAGCUACAGCUUCAAGAAUAAUGGUUGGGGAUCCACUACAACCAGCUGUUGGAAAUUUUUUCCAUUUCCAAUGCAUACAAUCUAAACUACCCAGCAUUCCUGGAAAACCCCAGCGUUCACCAAUGUGGAGUAGUCUUGCAACAUCAUCAACGUUAGGUGAUCGUAGAUAGCGAGCUCCAAACACCUCGGCAAAAUCGCUUCAAACUUUCUAAAACUGUAGAUUCUCCAAUUUUUAUGUACUCCUCGGUAGCAUCUGCAGUACACCAGAUGCUAACAUUCGAAAUACAGCUGUUACCUUUUGCAAGUCGGACAACCCAAGUUUACCGAGUCCGUCCCUUCGUUGGACGAAGUAAUUGUCAUGCCUUUGAAUAGCAUCAAAUAUACGAAAGAAUAAAGGACGACCCAUUCGAAAUCUUCGUCGACACAUCGAAUCAUUAAAUCGGGGAUUUUCUACAAAAUAGUCAUUGAAGAGAUUGCGAUCAACAUUUUCCUAGUCACGGUUGAUAACUAUAUGACCAGGAAUUGAGCCCCGGCGUGACCCAUCGUUAUUGAGGUGUUGAGUGAUGCAAAAAUUGUUGUUUGCAGUAAUUUGACAUACCACUUGAUUUUCUAGAUCAUCAUAAUAAUCAUCAUCUGAAGAUGAUGAUAAAUAAGAUGAACUGCCAUAAUAAGAAUUCAUCUUUUAUCAAAGCUAAUUUGUGUGUGUAUUAUGGUCUGCAUGAUAUCCAUAUUUUAUAGUGUACAUAAUCUUAUCUUUAAUUUUUCAAAAUUUAAAGAUAAGAAUAUUGACGAAUUGAUUUAGACCAUAGAUUACUUUGACUAUGAUCUCAACCGUUGCAUUUGAAGAUAGAAUAUCGUAUCUCUUGGCA